rnacentral:misc_RNA from 1 species
AGGCAAUAUUCCAAAAAAUAUAUAUAUUUUGUUCAACAUACAAAAAGUAGCCAUAUCAACAAUUCUAACAGGAAGUAUAAAAUCACAAAAGUACAAUCUGAAGUGUUCCAUGUAAAGCCGGUGGAGCCUAUCAGACAAGAAAAUUCUGUACAUUUCGCUUGGGAAUACUCCUACAUAGUACAGGCACAAAACAUAAGCUUUGUUUGAAUAAUUUCCAGAUUCUACAAAUACUAAACAAUUUCAGCAUAGCAAUCACUGACAGGUCAUGGAGAAGUCCUGAAGAGACAUGAUACCACACUAAUAAAUGAAAACUCAGCAAGUACUUGUUUGUGCACAAUCCUUGUCCAGGCAUUUAAGAACAUAGCAUCAAUACGAUCGUGGAGGAUAGACUCCAGGGUAUUGACCUGGGGGAUAAGAGUAACCCUGUGGUGGAUAAGGCUGAGGCGGAUACGCAGAUGAUGAGUAAGGUGAAGGAUAAGCAGCCGAUUGAGGGGGAUAAAGAGAUGUUGAAUGAUAUGCUGCUGGAGGUGGUGGGACUGUGGAAUAAGGAGAAGCUGGAUAAAAUGCUGAAGGAGGCGAGGCUGUGGAAUAAGGAGAUGGUGCUGGAUAGCCAGAAGGUGUUGGGUGAGAAGCUACAUGUGGUGGAGCUACUGAAUAUGGAUAUGAUCCAGGAGUUGGUGUAACAAAUGGAGGGCCUGAUUGAGCAUGGCUUGUUGCUGGCUUAUUGGUAUUUGCAUAGUGCAUUAUUAGUCGAACUUCUCCUGCAUGCCUGCCGUUCUUCCUCUGAAGUGGCCAAGCAGUAUCAUCAAAUCCCUGUGAGAGAACCUUCUGUAGUUGAACCUUUCCACUCCCUAUAAAAUCAUCUGAAUUAACAGUAUUGCUAUUCCACACAACAACAUUGAUCUCUCGCAACCCUUCAAUUAGCUUAAACACAAAUUUCUCUUGAAACGUAGGGUUUUUACCGCCAUCUGUACAUGUACGAGUACGGAAUUUAGAACUUCCGUAUUCAAGGCAAACAUACGGAUCUUGCCUUGAAAUCCAUUCAGUAUCCUUCAGUUUAUUACAAGCAACAACAGUUACUUCAAGGAGUUGGCCUUGGAUGCCAUAUGCUAUCGACAUGGAAAGUAGAAGAAGAAAGAAGACAACGAUGACGAGGAAUUUG